rnacentral:rRNA from 1 species
GACGAACCGUGCGAACGUUGUUCGGAUUCACUGGGCUUAAAGGGCGCGUAGGCGGUCGACCAAGUCUGGGGUGAAAUCUUUCGGCUCAACCGGAAAAGUGCCCCCGAUACUGGCCGGCUAGAGGGAGAUAGGGGCAUGCGGAACUUCCGGUGGAGCGGUGAAAUGCGUAGAUAUCGGAAGGAACGCCGGUGGCGAAAGCGGCGUGCUGGAUCUCUUCUGACGCUGAGGCGCGAA